rnacentral:tRNA from 1 species
GCGUCGGUUGGGCAAUUGGUAGCCCGCUUGGCCGUAACCCAGGUCCCUUCGGGGUAUGCAGGUUCGAGCCCUGCCCGGCGCACCA